UACGAAGGGGGGCUAGCGUUGUUCGGAAUUACUGGGCGUAAAGCGUAUGUAGGCGGAUCUUUAAGUCAGGGGUGAAAUCCCGAGGCUCAACCUCGGAACUGCCUUUGAUACUGGGGAUCUUGAGUCCGGGAGAGGUUAGUGGAACUCCUAGUGUAGAGGUGGAAUUCGUAGAUAUUAGGAAGAACACCAGUGGCGAAGGCGGCUCACUGGUCCGGUACUGACGCUGAGGUGCGAAAGCGUGGGGAGCAAACAGG
rnacentral:rRNA from 1 species